rnacentral:rRNA from 1 species
AACAGGAUUAGAUACCCUGGUAGUCCACGCCGUAAACGAUGAGUGCUAAGCGUUAGAGGGGUCACACCCUUUAGUGCUGCAGCUAACGCGAUAAGCACUCCGCCUGGGGAGUACGGCCGCAAGGCUGAAACUCAAAGGAAUUGACGGGGGCCCGCACAAGCGGUGGAGCAUGUGGUUUAAUUUGAAGCAACGCGAAGAACCUUACCAGGUCUUGACAUCCCCUGACAACCCAAGAGAUUGGGCGUUCCCCCUUCGGGGGGACAGGGUGACAGGUGGUGCAUGGUUGUCGUCAGCUCGUGUCGUGAGAUGUUGGGUUAAGUCCCGCAACGAGCGCAACCCUCGCCUCUAGUUGCCAGCAUUCGGUUGGGCACUCUAGAGGGACUGCCGGCGACAAGUCGGAGGAAGGUGGGGAUGACGUCAAAUCAUCAUGCCCCUUAUGACCUGGGCUACACACGUGCUACAAUGGGCGGUACAAAGGGCUGCGAACCCGCGAGGGGGAGCGAAUCCCAAAAAGCCGCUCUCAGUUCGGAUUGCAGGCUGCAACUCGCCUGCAUGAAGCCGGAAUCGCUAGUAAUCGCGGAUCAGCAUGCCGCGGUGAAUACGUUCCCGGGCCUUGUACACACCGCCCGUCACACCACGAGAGCUCGCAACACCCGAAGUCGGUGAGGUAACCCGCAAGGGAGCCAGCCGCCGAAGGUGGGGCAAGUGAUUGGGGUGAAGUCGUAACAAGGUAACC